ACCCUCGCUCUCUCUAAAUACUUUCUAUCCCUUAUUUUCACAACCCCUCUCUCUCUCUCUCUCUCUCUCUCUCUCUCUCUGUAUGUGAAGAAACCUUUCCCUGCACUCUCUCUCCCUUCAUUUACACAAUCCCUCUCUAUCUCUCUCACUCUCUUUCAAGAAACCCUUAGCCUUCACGUCUUUCCUCGAUUCGCAACACCACCCCUGAAGACUGGAAAUUGUGGUUCACAAGAAAAGCUUAUGAUCAUUUAUUAGGAAUGAAUAACGGAUAUAUCGAUUCGUCUAAACUGACAGAAUCAAAUGGAUUUGCCCCAUUUUGGACGGAUGCGUGAUGAUGAAUGGACGGUUGCAGAUUGAUUUUUUUUCAAUCAAUCUAGUUUUGGACGGAUGACGGAUUUAAAGUUUCUUUAACCGCAACUGAACCGCCAAACCGCAAGCACUCCUAAUAAUUUGUAAGACUUUGUAUUUUUAAUUUAUUUAUAUAUUUUGCUUGUGUUUUCAGUUGAAA